GGCUCGGUAGCUUAGUUGGUAAAGCGCUCGUCUAGCAUACAAGAGUCCUGGGUUCAAAUCCCAGCCGAGCACA
rnacentral:tRNA from 1 species